GGGGAAUAUUGGACAAUGGGCGCAAGCCUGAUCCAGCCAUGCCGCGUGGGUGAAGAAGACCUUCGGGUUGUAAAGCCCUUUUGUUGGGAAAGAAAAGCAGCCGGCCAAUACCCGGUUGUUCUGACGGUACCCAAAGAAUAAGCACCGGCUAACUUCGUGCCAGCAGCCGCGGUAAUACGAAGGGUGCAAGCGUUACUCGGAAUUACUGGGCGUAAAGCGUGCGUAGGUGGUUUCGUAAGACAGACGUGAAAUCCCCGGGCUCAACCUGGGAACUGCGUUUGUGACUGCGAGGCUAGAGUACGGCAGAGGGGGGUAGAAUUCCCGGUGUAGCAGUGAAAUGCGUAGAGAUCGGGAGGAACAUCAGUGGCGAAGGCGACUGCCUGGGCCAACACUGACACUGAGGCACGAAAGCGUGGGGAGCAAACA
rnacentral:rRNA from 1 species